AAGGUGCCCAAGGUUUCAGAAAAUAGUGUCUGAUUUUUUAGCCCAAACUACAAGGGGAGUGGUGGUUAAUCACAUUUCCUGGUUUCAGUAAUUGUGAUUGCUGAUUAAAUAUCAUGUAAAAAAGUUUGAAUUGAGUUUCAGGAAUCAAGGGGAAUUUUUGCAGAAAACUCUUGGAGAGGCUAGUGAAUUGUUUUAGAGCAAUAUAACUGCCAUUUAGUUCACAAGGUCUGUGUGUACUCAGGUGGGCAUAUUCAAAAUUGCUCAACUCCAGAGUUCAGCUGCACACUUGCGUGAUGUCAGUUUUCCCAAGAACUCCUCAAUUGCUGUUUAUCUUUUCAUGUAUUUGAAGUCAGAGAGAUGAUAGAAAUAGAGUUAGAGGUGGAGGUAGAGAUAGAAAGAGAGGAGAGAGAGAAAGGUAGUGACAGAAAGAGAGAGGGAGAGAGAGAGAGAGAGAGAGAGAUGUCCCACGCAGCGAUUCAUACCCAUAUGUCCACAACUCUUGGGAUCAGGCCAGGACAAAUCAAGAGCUUGGAACUCAAUCCAGUUCUCUCAUUUGAGUGGCAGCAACUCACUUGCUCUUGCUGCCUAUCAGGUUACACAUUAGCAGGAAGCUAGAAUCCAGUGAAGUCAGGUCUCGAACCCAAGCAUUCUGAUAAGGGACGUUGGUAUUUCAAGUAGUAUCGUAGUAUCAUAAUCUCUGUGUCAAACAUUCAUCCUUAAUUUUCCUUUUUUGGCACCUGGUAAUAAGAAGUUUAGGACAAGAACAUACUCCCGAUAGUGUUCAGUGAAGACUAGAACAUCUUUCAUUUCUUCUUGGCUCUUCCUUCUUCCACAUGCUGAUGUAAUCCUGAGGGUAUGUGACGAUCCUUGUAUCAAGAACUUAGGACAAGUCUGACACAUCAGAACCCAUUUCUCUGGGGUUAUUUUCAUGGAUGAGUUCAGCUAAAGCAGAGAACACAUGCUGCAGAUUCAUGUUCAUUUAACCUGUUGACAUGGUGGCUAUCUCCAUGCUUUAGAAGCAUUCUGGAAAAUUGAUAAACAGAAGCACUGAUUCCAACCUACUUUUCCCAGAAGAUUAUGUAACACAUAGCCUUGAAAUAUAGAGAGGGUAGCUCCCUCCAAGAAUAUGUAGUGUAUCUUUUUAUUUUCCAGUAAAAUAAUGUAAUACCUGCAUUCUGUAAAAUGAUAGUCAUGUUACUGCCUUUUAAAGUAAUAAUAAAAUUAGAGAAAAAAUAAAUAAAAAUGAAACAAAAGUGUAAAA